UACGGAGGGUGCAAGCGUUAUCCGGAUUUACUGGGUUUAAAGGGUGCGCAGGCGGAUAUGUAAGUCAGUGGUGAAAUCUCUAGGCUUAACCUGGAAAUUGCCGUUGAUACUAUAUAUCUUGAAUAUUGUGGAGGUCAGCGGAAUAUGUCAUGUAGCGGUGAAAUGCUUAGAUAUGACAUAGAACACCAAUUGCGAAGGCAGCUGGCUACACAUAUAUUGACACUGAGGCACGAAAGCGUGGGGAUCAAACAGG
rnacentral:rRNA from 1 species